rnacentral:rRNA from 1 species
UUUUAGCGGAGGGGCUCACCUGUUCUCAUUCCGAACACAGAAGUUAAGCCCUCUAGCGCCGAUGGUACUGCGAAAGCGGGAGAGUAGGUCGCCGCCAGUU